rnacentral:rRNA from 1 species
GUCCACGCCGUAAACGAUGUCGACUAGCCGUUGGGAUCCUUGAGAUCUUAGUGGCGCAACUAACGCAUUAAGUCGACCGCCUGGGGAGUACGGCCGCAAGGUUAAAACUCAAAUGAAUUGACGGGGGCCCGCACAAGCGGUGGAGCAUGUGGUUUAAUUCGAAGCAACGCGAAGAACCUUACCUGGCCUUGACAUGCUGAGAACUUUCCAGAGAUGGAUUGGUGCCUUCGGGAACUCAGACACAGGUGCUGCAUGGCUGUCGU